AUUUAGGGUAUCCCGUACCGCCCCACUGAAGAGAUGCACCAAUACACCAGGGUGAUGCAUAGGAGCAAAAACCUAAAAACCUAAAAAUCUCCUUGGUUGUGCCUCUGUCAGCCCCAAGCCAGCUUCCAAGCUUCUCGCUUCUCCCUCUGGAAGGAAAAUGGCAUCAGCCCGUCCUUGGGCAAUGAGCCCCUCAGUCUGAGGUGUUCCCAGACAGGCUCCAGCAGCAGUUAAAUUGUCAUGAGGAGGGAAAUAACAACCCUCACCCCUUUCCUGGUCAGCCCCAGUUGUAAUCGCGUUGUCCCCAUCUGUGCUCAGCCCUGCUGCCAUCCCCAGCAGCUCUGCUGAGGUUGCCAUAGUGAUCUCAGGCUCUGCGGCCUGACGCGAGGCUUCGGGGUCCGCAGGGCAAUGGGACCGCGAUGCGAGGCUUUGGGGGCUGUCCUACGGCUGUUUUUGGUGUAGAAGGAGAAGAAGAUAGAGCGAGGAAAUCACACAUAACAGAUGAAUCCAACAGUCAGUGGGUGAGGUAGUCCUUCUCUGGAUGGAUGUGGGGAAUCCAUCUGUUGGUACCGAUGCUCGGAGAAGGAGGCAGCCUGUGGGGCAGUAGGAAAAGGCUCUGCGACCAGAGCUGCCACACGAUGAGCCACAGAGAUGGCAUCCUUAGCAGCUCUGAUGUGAUCCUGAGCCCAGUUAAAGCAGUGUCCCAAGCAGCCAGAUGCUGGCACAUUUUUCCAGAUCUCAGAAUAGCUGACAAGGGUGGCUCCUUCAGGGAAUUUGCACAUGAUAGUAAACACGAGGCACAGCUUCUGCUCUUCAUAUCUUUGCUGCUCUUUUCUGCUCCUUUGUGUUUUAUUUUCAAGGAAAGGCCAGAGCCCAGCACAACAGAAGCUCCAGUCUAUAAAAACUUCAUUUUCCCACAAAAAGGACAAUGCCUAUGUUAAAUGCCUCUCUAAAGCCUGCCAAACAGUAACGUUUCUUACAAGAACUCUGUAGCUCUUUGGAAAGGCACUAAGAGAGACUGUUAAAAUUAAACUUCGUAUUUCAAAUGCUUCCAUUCGUGGCUACAUUUUUUUUUCCUUAUACUCUUAAUGAGAGCUUUAAAUUAUUCUGAAGAGUAGUUUUCUGCCAUCAGAGCAAGCAGGCUGUUUCUUUAUAUGGCACCCUGAAUCUCGUAAAGCAGUUUCACACAAGACAGUGACAGCCAUGCCCGCACCUCACGUUAUCAGUGCUCAGCUUCCUAGCCACAAUUAAAAGCAGGAUUUGACCUUAAUCACUGAUACUUAAAUAGGAGAAUUAUCAGUCCUUCAGUUAUUGGUGAUCCUCCGUGAUUAUUUCCCUGAAGAAAGAUAAAGCAGCCUCAUCGAAGAUAAGAAUCUUUGCGUGUUAAUACUUUUGUGGGAAUAACCAUGGUGUGGAGGGGUUGAAACUUCUCUGCAGGAUCUCCUGUGCUGGGAGCUGCCAGCGCCAGCAGGGACCGUGGUGGAGCUCAGCUGGAGGGAAUGACUUCAUCCUAGCCAAAAUGCACAUCUACAUGUGCAUAUGUGCAGCUCUGUGUGUGUGUUUUCAGGGAAAGGCACUGCUCCCCGUACUGCUCUGACACCCGGAGUGCCCCCACGUAGCAUAACUGCAGCUACGGAAUGGCAGAUAACUGCCCGUGUCCCCAAAAUGAGAGUCUUCUUUUAACACAUACAAAAUAAUGCAAGUUAAAAGAGACUUGCUAAUAACGCACAGCUCCUGUUUGGGGUUUGCUUUUACGCAGUGCAGGGGUAGAGACGGUUAAAUGUACCCGUCAGCCCAGCAGGGCUGGGUCUGCAGCGUCUCAGUAGCGUACCCCCGAACAAUGGUGCGCAUAUUUCGCUCCUGCCAACGCGUUCCGUGUUUUUCAGCAGAAAAAUGGCUGAGCACAGGGUGAUGUCACCGCAAAGCAGAAAUAAAACCCAUCUGUACGGUCGUGUUAGCAUCCUCAGUGACCUGGUACCGCAGACCAAAUCCUCGCCCGCAACAACCCGGAUUAGCUCUGUUGAUUACACAGAGCUGCCCAGCCCCGCGCCGGAGAGCCUCAGGGCUGAACCCAGAAGGUGCGGUGUUUCCAUGGCAAUUUUGCUGCACGUAGUUUAUUCCAAAUAGUCUCCGAAGGGCCCACAGCUCCUUCCAAUGAUAUUCCAGGCUGUUUUUUCUGCCCCCGGU